AAGAAGAGAAAAAAAA
rnacentral:sRNA from 1 species